UAUAUUGAAAAAAUGGUUUUGGC
rnacentral:piRNA from 1 species